GACGGUGAUUGAUUCGAAUAGACUGAUGCAUAGAUCACUUCUUUCUGAAUAGAUGAGUCUCUGGGCUACAAUGUAGAGACACUGAGUGAUGAGUGCGGAUAGUUGUUAGAGAACAACUAGUACUGAGCGUGAUCGUAUGAGAGAUCACUUAGAUUUCUACUCGAUCAUCAGUGAUUGUCUUGAUAUUGUAGUUGUGUGAAUGAUCCUUUGAUCUAUAAUGGUAUGAUUGCUCAUAGUGAGGCUGCUGGAGUUUAACUGAUACAUAAACAUGAUCUCAAUGAGCACUUAUAGUAGAUGUUGGUGACAGUUGGUUCACUAUAGGAGUAGAGUGCAUAUCAAGAUAGAAUCUAUCGAUCUUGAUAGAAAGAAGUAGUCCUAUGAGAUUUGAAAGGCUAAGUCCGAGAGUCUGUGGCCACAGCAAUG
rnacentral:lncRNA from 1 species